AUGAGCUGAUACAGAACCAUGCUGAUUUAUAUAAACUAAGUUUCAUUUUCUCACCAAGUAUCAUUCAUUUAUUUUAAACUGUUGAAGAAUACGAAUGUUCUCACCGAGACGUAUAAGCAUUCUCAUGCUUUAUCUAUCUAUAACUGUACUUGUAAAAUAUCCAAAUUAGUCCACUCAUAGUCCACUUGACCUUCAAAUGGUAUACACAAGCGUCGAAUAUAAUUAAACUAUACUUGAGGUAUAUGAAGAGCAAAAAGUACUUAAUCUCUGAGAAAACUUUAAGUUUGGAUAACCUGAAAAAAUAAUAUGUGCUUGUGAUCGACACACUAGCAUUUAAAUUAAAAGAGUAUUAAUGCUAACUAUAGAGUGUGCACAAGAUUUUUACCUCGAUUUUUGCAUUCAGUUGCUCUAGUGAAAAAUGAAAAGGGUUACCCAUUAGGGAAUAGCCCUGGACCCAG